rnacentral:rRNA from 1 species
UACCAAGGCGAUGAUGCAUAGCCGAGUUGAGAGACUGAUCGGCCACAUUGGGACUGAGACACGGCCCAAACUCCUACGGGAGGCAGCAGUAGGGAAUCUUCCACAAUGGACGCAAGUCUGAUGGAGCAACGCCGCGUGAGUGAAGAAGGGUUUCGGCUCGUAAAGCUCUGUUGUUGGUGAAGAAGGACAGGGGUAGUAACUGACCUUUGUUUUGACGGUAAUCAAUUAGAAAGUCACGGCUAACUACGUGCCAGCAGCCGCGUAAAU